rnacentral:tRNA from 1 species
GUCCGUGUCGUCCAGCAGCAGGACCUCGGUUUUUCAAGCCGAACAACGCGGGUGCAACUCCCGCCACGGAUU